UACAGAGGUCCCAAGCGUUGUUCGGAUUUAUUGGGCGUAAAGGGUGCGUAGGCGGUGGAGUAAGUUGGGUGUGAAAUCCCGGGGCUCAACCUCGGAAUUGCAUUCAAUACUGCUUCGCUUGAGUACUGGAGAGGAGGCUGGAAUUUACGGUGUAGCAGUGAAAUGCGUAGAUAUCGGAAGGAAGGCCGGUGGCGAAAGCGAGCCUCUGGACAGUUACUGACGCUGAUGCACGAAGGCCAGGGGAGCAAACGGG
rnacentral:rRNA from 1 species